AGCGAACGCUGGCGGCAGGCUUAACACAUGCAAGUCGAGCGGGCGUAGCAAUACGUCAGCGGCAGACGGGUGAGUAACGCGUGGGAACGUACCUUUUGGUUCGGAACAACACAGGGAAACUUGUGCUAAUACCGGAUAAGCCCUUACGGGGAAAGAUUUAUCGCCGAAAGAUCGGCCCGCGUCUGAUUAGCUAGUUGGUGAGGUAACGGCUCACCAAGGCGACGAUCAGUAGCNGGUCUGAGAGGAUGAUCAGCCACAUUGGGACUGAGACACGGCCCAAACUCCUACGGGAGGCAGCAGUGGGGAAUAUUGGACAAUGGGCGCAAGCCUGAUCCAGCCAUGCCGCGUGAGUGAUGAAGGCCCUAGGGUUGUAAAGCUCUUUUGUGCGGGAAGAUAAUGACGGUACCGCAAGAAUAAGCCCCGGCUAACUUCGUGCCAGCAGCCGCAGUAAU
rnacentral:rRNA from 1 species